GAUGAACGCUAGCGGCAGGCCUAACACAUGCAAGUCGAGGGGUAGAGGAAGCUUGCUUCCUUGAGACCGGCGCACGGGUGCGUAACGCGUAUGCAAUCUACCUUUUACAGAGGGAUAGCCCAGAGAAAUUUGGAUUAAUACCUCAUAGUAUAUAUCAUUCGCCUGUUUGAUAUAUUAGAGUUCCAACGGUAAAAGAUGAGCAUGCGUCCCAUUAGUUAGUUGGUAAGGUAACGGCUUACCAAGACGAUGAUGGGUAGGGGUCCUGAGAGGGAGAUCCCCCACACUGGUACUGAGACACGGACCAGACUCCUACGGGAGGCAGCAGUGAGGAAUAUUGGUCAAUGGACGCAAGUCUGAACCAGCCAUGCCGCGUGCAGGAGACGGUCCUAUGGAUUGUAAACUGCUUUUGUACGGGAAGAAACACUCCUACGUGUAGGAGCCUGACGGUACCGUAAGAAUAAGGAUCGGCUAACUCCGUGCCAGCCGCCGCGGUAAUAC
rnacentral:rRNA from 1 species